GCAGCGCGGCCAGGUCGAGGCCCGCGGCCUCCAGGGCCCCGUCGACCCGGGCCCGGGCCGCCGCCCGGCGCUCGGCGCGCGGGCGCAGCA
rnacentral:tRNA from 1 species